CGCGGCCUAUCAGCUUGUUGGUGGGGUAAUGGCCUACCAAGGCGGCGACGGGUAGCCGGCCUGAGAGGGUGGACGGCCACAUUGGGACUGAGAUACGGCCCAGACUCCUACGGGAGGCAGCAGUGGGGAAUAUUGCACAAUGGGCGCAAGCCUGAUGCAGCGACGCCGCGUGGGGGAUGACGGCCUUCGGGUUGUAAACUCCUUUCGCUAGGGACGAAGCUUUUUGUGACGGUACCUAGAUAAGAAGCACCGGCUAACUACGUGCCAGCAGCCGCGGUAAUACGUAGGGUGCGAGCGUUGUCCGGAAUUACUGGGCGUAAAGGGCUCGUAGGUGGUUUGUCGCGUCGUCUGUGAAAUUCCGGGGCUUAACUCCGGGCGUGCAGGCGAUACGGGCAUAACUUGAGCACUGUAGGGGUAACUGGAAUUCCUGGUGUAGCGGUGAAAUGCGCAGAUAUCAGGAGGAACACCGAUGGCGAAGGCAGGUUACUGGGCAGCUACUGACGCUGAGGAGCGAAAGCAUGGGUAGCGAACAGGAUUAGAUACCCUGGUAGUCCAUGCCGUAAACGGUGGGCGCUAGGUGUGAGGGUCUUUUCACGACUUUCGUGCCGUAGCUAACGCAU
rnacentral:rRNA from 1 species